GGCGCUGGGGCUGGUCAUUAGAUACUGAGGUCUUGAAAAUCCCUCUGUAAUUAAUUUUCUCCUGCAUUCAUUAGAGAAAUGUUGGAACUGGUGGAAGAGGGAGGGAUUUGUUGCCCCUGGGCUGCUUUUCAGGGAGACUUAAGGGAAGGAUGGUAAUCUGUUGGAGAGUUGGACUGAGGACGCCGUGGCCAGGGUUUGCAGGAGACUCUCCUGCCCAUGACCCACGCCGGAGACCUCACCAGGUGCACAUAUUUCCUGCUGCUGAAUGGCUUAGACUGGGAUUUGCAAGGAAUCACGAAGUUCAAGACCUUUGCCUUUCCUUUAGAAGAAGGCACCAGCUGGUUCUCCAAUGUUGAAGGUCUUCUCCAGAGAUGAACUGUGAAAGCCACAUGUUGAGAUGGGCUCAUUACAGAUGGAGAGCACCUGAACCCCCAAGUUAAGGAACAGCAGAAGAGAGUUGCCCUGGAAAAUCAUCUGACCCACAUUGGACUUUAUGUGAGGGGGAAAUAAACCUUUAUUAUGUUAAGCUACACAA